rnacentral:rRNA from 1 species
AGACUAAGCCAUGCAUGUCUAAGUAUAAACGCUUCUAUACUGUGAAACUGCGAAUGGCUCAUUAAAUCAGUUAUAGUUUAUUUGAUGGUUUCUUACUACUUGGAUAACCGUGGUAAUUCUAGAGCUAAUACAUGCACAAAGUCCCGACUGUUCGGAAGGGAUGUAUUUAUUAGAUCCAAAACCAAUGCGAGUCUUUCGGGGCUCGGUUUCUUGGUGAUUCAUGAUAACUGCUCGAACCGUAUGGCCUUUGCGCCGACGGUGCUUCAUUCAAAUUUCUGCCCUAUCAACUUUCGAUGGUACGGUAGUGGCCUACCAUGGUUGCAACGGGUGACGGAGAAUUAGGGUUCGAUUCCGGAGAGGGAGCCUGAGAAACGGCUACCACAUCCAAGGAAGGCAGCAGGCGCGCAAAUUACCCAAUCCCGACUCGGGGAGGUAGUGACAAUAAAUAACAAUGCCGGGCUAUUGUAGUCUGGCAAUUGGAAUGAGUACAAUCUAAAUCCCUUAACGAGGAACAAUUGGAGGGCAAGUCUGGUGCCAGCAGCCGCGGUAAUUCCAGCUCCAAUAGCGUAUAUUAAAGUUGUUGCAGUUAAAAAGCUCGUAGUUGGAUUUCGGGGUGGCCUGGCUGGUCCACCGCAAGGUGAGUACUGGUCAGCCGCCCUUCCUCUCGAAAGCCCCGACUGCUCUUCAUUGUAGUGGUCGGGUAGUUCGGGACGUUUACUUUGAAAAAAUUAGAGUGUUCAAGGCAGGCUAUCGCCUGAAUACAUUAGCAUGGAAUAAUGGAAGAGGACCUCGGUCCUAUUUUGUUGGUUUCUAGGGCCGAAGUAAUGAUUAAGAGGGACAGUUGGGGGCAUUCGUAUUUAAUUGUCAGAGGUGAAAUUCUUGGAUUUAUGAAAGACGAACUAGUGCGAAAGCAUUUGCCAAGGAUGUUUUCAUUAAUCAAGAACGAAAGUUAGGGGU